AUACUAUCAGGUACUAAGUUCAUGAUAAGUUUAAGUUCAAUUAAUCAAAUUACUUAAGAACUCCCACUUAGAUAGACAUCCCUCUAAUCCUCUAAGUGAUCACGUGAUCCAAAUCAACUAAACCAUAACCGAUCAUCACGUGAGAUGGAGUAGUUUUCAAUGGUGAACAUCGUUAUGUUGAUCAUAUCUACUAUAUGAUUCACGCUCNNNNNNNNNNAAGGAGAAAUCCGCCCAAGGAGGGGCUCGCGUCUGAUUAGCUAGUUGGUGAGGUAAUAGCUUACCAAGGCGAUGAUCAGUAGCUGGUCCGAGAGGAUGAUCAGCCACACUGGGACUGAGACACGGCCCAGACUCCUACGGGAGGCAGCAGUGGGGAAUUUUCCGCAAUGGGCGAAAGCCUGACGGAGCAAUGCCGCGUGGAGGUGGAAGGCCUACGGGUCGUCAACUUCUUUUCUCGGAGAAGAAACAAUGACGGUAUCUGAGGAAUAAGCAUCGGCUAACUCUGUGCCAGCAGCCGCGGUAAGACAGAGGAUGCAAGCGU
rnacentral:rRNA from 1 species